AUUGAACGCUGGCGGCAUGCCUUACACAUGCAAGUCGAGCGGCAGCGCGGGGGCAACCCUGGCGGCGAGCGGCGAACGGGUGAGUAAUACAUCGGAACGUGUCCAGUAGCGGGGGAUAACCUGCCGAAAGAUAGGCUAAUACCGCAUACGACCUACGGGUGAAAGCGGGGGACCGCAAGGCCUCGCACUAUUGGAGCGGCCGAUGUCGGAUUAGCUAGUUGGCGGGGUAACGGCCCACCAAGGCGACGAUCCGUAGCUGGUCUGAGAGGACGACCAGCCACACUGGAACUGAGACACGGUCCAGACUCCUACGGGAGGCAGCAGUGGGGAAUUUUGGACAAUGGGCGCAAGCCUGAUCCAGCCAU
rnacentral:rRNA from 1 species